rnacentral:lncRNA from 1 species
CCCCAUAGUGCUGCAGCAGCUGCUCCACGUACUCGAUCCAGACGCAGUUGUGGCAGCCGCUCAUGCAGCAGUUGGUGGGCGGCGGGAGCUCAGGGGGGUGUGGAUAGGGGGACUCAGCCCCCCGCGUGGUUUCCCCCUCACCCCGAGGGGUUCCCGUCUGGCAGUCGCUUCUCGGGGUGUCCGAACGCCUCCGACGGCUGCAGAUGGCGCUGGGAUGGGGGGCUCUGCGCUGCUGUUCCUCCCGGCCCCUCCCCGCCAGGCCCCGCGCUCCGCGUGCCGCCCG